UACGGAGGGUGCAAGCGUUACUCGGAAUCACUGGGCGUAAAGCGCGCGCAGGCGGCCUUUUAAGUUGGAUGUGAAAGCCUACGGCUUAACCGUAGAACUGCAUCCAAAACUACUAGGCUAGAGUGUGGGAGAGGAAGAUGGAAUUAGUUGUGUAGGGGUAAAAUCCGUAGAGAUAACUAGGAAUACCAAAAGCGAAGGCAAUCUUCUGGAACACUACUGACGCUGAGGCGCGAAAGCGUGGGGAGCAAACAGGAUUAGAUACCCUGGUAGUCCACGCCCUAAACGAUGAAUGUUAGUCGUCGGGUAGCUAGUCUAUUCGGUGAUGCAGCUAACGCAUUAAACAUUCCGCCUGGGGAGUACGGCCGCAAGAUUAAAACUCAAAGGAAUAGACGGGGACCCGCACAAGUGGUGGAGCAUGUGGUUUAAUUCGAAGAUACGCGAAGAACCUUACCUAGCCUUGACAUAUAUUAGAACACUUUAGAGAUAGAGUGGUGCCUUCGGGAGCUUUUAUACAGGUGCUGCACGGCUGUCGUCAGCUCGUGUCGUGAGAUGUUGGGUUAAGUCCCGCAACGAGCGCAACCCUCGUCACUAGUUACUAACGGUUCGGCCGAGGACUCUAGUGAGACUGCCUUCGCAAGGAGGAGGAAGGUGAGGACGACGUCAAGUCAUCAUGGCCCUUACGGCUAGGGCAACACACGUGCUACAAUGGCCAGGACAAUGAGACGCAAUACCGCGAGGUGGAGCAAAUCUAUAAACCUGGUCUCAGUUCGGAUUGUAGUCUGCAACUCGACUACAUGAAGCUGGAAUCACUAGUAAUCGUAGAUCAGCUAUGCUACGGUGAAUACGUUCCCGGGUCU
rnacentral:rRNA from 1 species